UGGGAGGACCAGCGGGUGAAGGGGGAACGGAUGGCUUCACUAUCACCAACAUGACAACCAUCACCUUUAUUAUAUAUUUUCACUUUUAUUGUCAACUCUAAACUAUCAUCACCAUCAUCAAACAUCUUCACCUUCAUCGUCAACUCUAUAAACUUUUUGUGGUAUUUUCUAUCACUAAAUGUUUAUGGUGGAAGGCAGAAGACCAAGAGGAAGACAGAGAGAGAAAUUUAUGGAUGGCGUGACGAGAGUGGCGGGAGGACAUCUUGAGCCUGCUGAGUUGUUGCAGCUAACAAGAGACAAUCAGGUGACACUCCAUGGUUGCCAAAGUCCUGGUGGAUACAGCACGUUGGUAAGGUGAGGUAAAUGUUUAUAUAUAUAUGUGUGGAUCAGUUGGAGUGCAUGAUGAAAGGCUGUGUUACUAUUAUCAAAUGGCUUUUCUAACAUAGCAUCAAGAUAUGGUUCUGUACUAGCCAGGCAGACUACCUGUAACACAGAGCUAUAGUCUAUUGUUGCACUUUGAUCAAGGUGUGCCCAAUGUCUAACACCACACCACACUACUGCGAAGGAGAGAAAGACUGAGAGAAUGUGUGUGAGGCUGGGAGGGUGAGAGCAGAGACAAAAGGGUGAGGUGUGUGUGAGGCUGGGAGGGUGAGAGCAGAGACAAAAGGGUGAGGUGUGUGUGAGGCUGGGAGGGUGAGAGCAGAGACAAAAGGGUGAGGUGUGUGUGAGGCUGGGAGGGUGAGAGCAGAGACAAAAGGGUGAGGUGUGUGUGAGGCUGGGAGGGUGAGAGCAGAGACAAAAGGGUGAGGUGUGUGUGAGGCUGGGAGGGUGAGAGCAGAGACAAAAGGGUGAGGUGUGUGUGAGGCUGGGAGGGUGAGAGCAGAGACAAAAGGGUGAGGUGUGUGUGAGGCUGGGAGGGUGACAGCAGAGGCAGAAGGAUGAGGUGUGUGUGUGUGUGUGUGUGUGUGUGUGUGUGUGUGUGUGUGUGUGUGUGUGUAUUUACCUAGUUGUGGGUAAAUACACACACACACACACACACCUCAUCCUUCUGCCUCUGUGUGUGUGUGUGUGUGUGUGUGAACAGAAUCAACUUGUCUUUCAUCUGUCUCCUCUCUCUCUUCCUCGCUGGGUUACUGCACACCAACACCAACGCACUAAUAGCAAAACUUCACACCUGCGAGACAUAUUUAACGCAUAAUUAAUAAGCGAAUGGCUUUGUACAUUCUCAGCGAAGUAAACUUGGUUAUCGAACAGAUUUAGCCACACGGGAAGACUGAAUGCAGGUAAAGGGGAGUAAGGGGAGGGAAGGUAAAGCUGGGAAGGGGGAGGGUAAGGUAGGGGAAAGCCAAAUGUGGGGUGUGGGGGGGCUAAA